rnacentral:tRNA from 1 species
GCCGGGAUGGCGGAAUCGGUAGACGCAGCGGACUCAAAAUCCGCCGCUGGCGACAGUGUGAGGGUUCGAGUCCCUCUCCCGGCA